rnacentral:tRNA from 1 species
AGAGCAUAGCUCAGUGGUAGAGUGUGUGCUUGGCAUGCACAAGGUCCUGGGUUCAAUCCCCAGUGCCUCUG